GGGUUGUGAGGUUAAGCGACCAAGCGUACACGGUGGAUGCCCUGGCAGUCAGAGGCGAUGAAGGACGUGCUAAUCUGCGAAAAGCGCCGGUAAGGUGAUAUGAACCGUUAUAACCGGCGAUGUCCGAAUGGGGAAACCCAGUGUGACUCGUCACACUAUCAUUAACUGAAUCCAUAGGUUAAUGAGGCGAACCGGGGGAACUGAAACAUCUAAGUACCCCGAGGAAAAGAAAUCAACCGAGAUUCCCCCAGUAGCGGCGAGCGAACGGGGAGGAGCCCAGAGCCUGAAUCAGCAUGUGUGUUAGUGGAAGCGUCUGGAAAGGCGCGCGAUACAGGGUGAGAGCCCCGUACACAAAAGCGCAUAUGCUGUGAGCUCGAUGAGUAGGGCGGGACACGUGGUAUCCUGUCUGAAUAUGGGGGGACCAUCCUCCAAGGCUAAAUACUCCUGACUGACCGAUAGUGAACCAGUACCGUGAGGGAAAGGCGAAAAGAACCCCGGCGAGGGGAGUGAAACAGAACCUGAAACCGUGUACGUACAAGCAGUGGGAGCCCCACCACUAAGCCAGUGGUGAACUCCACAUACGCAUCCUUUGCGGAAGAUGCGGUUAACGGAGCGAAAGCGACGUUCAACCUCAGAAGAAGCAGAGGGGGCUUAGUGGUGGGGUGACUGCGUACCUUUUGUAUAAUGGGUCAGCGACUUAUAUUCUGUAGCAAGGUUAACCGCAUAGGGGAGCCGAAGGGAAACCGAGUCUUAAUUGGGCGUUAAGUUGCAGGGUAUAGACCCGAAACCCGGUGAUCUAGCCAUGGGCAGGUUGAAGGUUGGGUAACACUAACUGGAGGACCGAACCGACUAAUGUUGAAAAAUUAGCGGAUGACCUGUGGCUGGGGGUGAAAGGCCAAUCAAACCGGGAGAUAGCUGGUUCUCCCCGAAAGCUAUUUAGGUAGCGCCUCGUGAACUCAUCUCCGGGGGUAGAGCACUGUUUCGGCUAGGGGGCCAUCCCGGCUUACCAACCCGAUGCAAACUGCGAAUACCGGAGAAUGUUAUCACGGGAGACACACGGCGGGUGCUAACGUCCGUCGUGAAGAGGGAAACAACCCAGACCGCCAGCUAAGGUCCCAAAGUCAUGGUUAAGUGGGAAACGAUGUGGGAAGGCCCAGACAGCCAGGAUGUUGGCUUAGAAGCAGCCAUCAUUUAAAGAAAGCGUAAUAGCUCACUGGUCGAGUCGGCCUGCGCGGAAGAUGUAACGGGGCUAAACCAUGCACCGAAGCUGCGGCAGCGACACUUUAGUGUUGUUGGGUAGGGGAGCGUUCUGUAAGCCGUUGAAGGUGUGUCGUGAGGCAUGCUGGAGGUAUCAGAAGUGCGAAUGCUGACAUAAGUAACGAUAAAGCGGGUGAAAAGCCCGCUCGCCGGAAGACCAAGGGUUCCUGUCCAACGUUAAUCGGGGCAGGGUGAGUCGACCCCUAAGGCGAGGCCGAAAGGCGUAGUCGAUGGGAAACGGGUUAAUAUUCCCGUACUUGGUGUUACUGCGAAGGGGGGACGGAGAAGGCUAUGUUGGCCGGGCGACGGUAGUCCCGGUUUAAGCGUGUAGGCUGGUUUUCCAGGCAAAUCCGGAAAAUCAAGGCUGAGGCGUGAUGACGAGGCACCACGGUGCUGAAGCAACAAAUGCCCUGCUUCCAGGAAAAGCCUCUAAGCAUCAGGUAACAUCAAAUCGUACCCCAAACCGACACAGGUGGUCAGGUAGAGAAUACCAAGGCGCUUGAGAGAACUCGGGUGAAGGAACUAGGCAAAAUGGUGCCGUAACUUCGGGAGAAGGCACGCUGACACGUAGGUGAAGUGAUUUACUCA
rnacentral:rRNA from 1 species